rnacentral:rRNA from 1 species
AUUGAACGCUGGCGGCAUGCCUUACACAUGCAAGUCGAACGGCAGCACGGGAGCAAUCCUGGUGGCGAGUGGCGAACGGGUGAGUAAUAUAUCGGAACGUGCCCAGUCGUGAGGGAUAACGUAGCGAAAGCUACGCUAAUACCGCAUACGAUCUACGGAUGAAAGCGGGGGAUCGCAAGACCUCGCGCGAUUGGAGCGGCCGAUAUCAGAUUAGGUAGUUGGUGAGGUAAAGGCUCACCAAGCCGACGAUCUGUAGCUGGUCUGAGAGGACGACCAGCCACACUGGGACUGAGACACGGCCCAGACUCCUACGGGAGGCAGCAGUGGGGAAUUUUUGGACAAUGGGCGCAAGCCUGAUCCAGCAAUGCCGCGUGCAGGAUGAAGGCCU